rnacentral:rRNA from 1 species
GGGGUUGAUGGUACCGUAAGAAUAAGCAUCGGCUAACUCCGUGCCAGCAGCCGCGGUAAUACGGAGGAUGCAAGCGUUAUCCGGAUUCAUUGGGUUUAAAGGGUGCGUAGGCGGGAUAAUAAGUCAGUGGUGAAAUCCUACAGCUUAACUGUAGAACUGCCAUUGAUACUGUUAACCUUGAGUACAUUUGAAGUGGGCGGAAUGCGUCAUGUAGCGGUGAAAUGCUUAGAUAUGACGCGGAACACCGAUAGCGAAGGCAGCUCACUAAACUGUAACUGACGCUGAGGCACGAAAGCGUGGGGAUCAAACAGGAUUAGAUACCCUGGUAGUCCACGCUGUAAACGAUGAUCACUCGAUGUGUGCGAUAUACUGUACGCGUCUGAGCGAAAGCAUUAAGUGACCCACCUGGGGAGUACGGUCGC